CGCGGAACGACACGAAACGACGGUGAAUGUUAAAAAUCAAACUCAUAACCUGAAGGCCGCAGGUUCAAAUCCUGCCCCGCAACCA
rnacentral:tRNA from 1 species